rnacentral:rRNA from 1 species
CGAAGGGGCUAGCGUUGUUCGGAAUUACUGGGGCGUAAAGCGCGCGCAGGCGGUUCGAUAAGUUAGGGGUGAAAUCCCCGGGGCUCAACCCGGGAACUGCCUUUAAGACUGUCGAGCUAGAGGACGAGAGAGGUGAGUGGAAUUCCCAGUGUAGAGGUGAAAUUCCGUAGAUAUUGGGGAAGAACACCGGUGGCGAAGGCGGCUCACUGGCUCGUUUCUGACGCUGAGGCGCGAAAAGCGUGGGGGAGCAAAACAGGGAUU